AGAUUGAACGCUGGCGGCAUGCCUUACACAUGCAAGUCGAACGGCAGCACGGGAGCAAUCCUGGUGGCGAGUGGCGAACGGGUGAGUAAUAUAUCGGAACGUGCCCAGUCGUGGGGGAUAACGUAGAGAAAUUUACGCUAAUACCGCAUACGAUCCAAGGAUGAAAGCGGGGGACCGUAAGGCCUCGCGCGACUGGGAGCGGACUGAUAUCAGAUUAGCUUGUGGUGAGGUAAAGCUCACCAAGGCGACGAUCUGUAGCUGGUUUGAGAGAACGACCAGCCACACUGGGACUGAGACACGGCCAGACUCCAACGGGAGGCAGCAGGUGGGGAAUUUUGGACAAGUGGGACGAAAGCCUGAUCCAGCAAAUCGCCGCGUGCGAGGAACGAA
rnacentral:rRNA from 1 species